rnacentral:rRNA from 1 species
UGGUUCUCCCCGAAAGCUAUUUAGGUAGCGCCUCGUGAAUUCAUCUCCGGGGGUAGAGCACUGUUUCGGCUAGGGGGCCAUCCCGGCUUACCAACCCGAUGCAAACUGCGAAUACCGGAGAAUGUUAUCACGGGAGACACACGGCGGGUGCUAACGUCCGUCGUGAAGAGGGAAACAACCCAGACCGCCAGCUAAGGUCCCAAAGUCAUGGUUAAGUGGGAAACGAUGUGGGAAGGCCCAGACAGCCAGGAUGUUGGCUUAGAAGCAGCCAUCAUUUAAAGAAAGCGUAAUAGCUCACUGGUCGAGUCGGCCUGCGCGGAAGAUGUAACGGGGCUAAACCAUGCACCGAAGCUGCGGCAGCGACGCUGAUGCGUUGUUGGGUAGGGGAGCGUUCUGUAAGCCUGCGAAGGUGGCCUGUGAGGGUUGCUGGAGGUAUCAGAAGUGCGAAUGCUGACAUAAGUAACGAUAAAGCGGGUGAAAAGCCCGCUCGCCGGAAGACCAAGGGUUCCUGUCCAACGUUAAUCGGGGCAGGGUGAGUCGACCCCUAAGGCGAGGCCGAAAGGCGUAGUCGAUGGGAAACGGGUUAAUAUUCCCGUACUUGGUGUUACUGCGAAGGGGGGACGGAGAAGGCUAUGUUGGCCGGGCGACGGUU